rnacentral:rRNA from 1 species
AACGAACGCUGGCGGCGUGCCUAACACAUGCAAGUCGUGCGAGAAAGUUCCUUCGGGAGCGAGUAAAGCGGCGCACGGGUGAGUAACACGUAGGUAACCUGCCCCCCAGUCUGGAACAACUAGAGGAAACUCUAGCUAAUGCCGGAUGAGACCACGAUCCCUUCGGGGGUUGCGGCCAAAGAUGGCCUCUACUUGUAAGCUAUCGCUGAGGGAUGGGCCUGCGGGCCAUUAGCUUGUUGGUGAGGUAACGGCUCACCAAGGCUGUGAUGGCUAGCUGGUCUGAGAGGAUGACCAGCCACACUGGGACUGAGACACGGCCCAGACUCCUACGGGAGGCAGCAGUGGGGGAAUAUUGGACAAUGGGCGGAAAGACCUGAUACCAGCCAUGCCGCGUGAGUGAUGAAGGCCUA